rnacentral:rRNA from 1 species
UACGUAGGUGACAAGCGUUGUCCGGAUUUACUGGGCGUAAAGAGCGCGCAGGCGGUCGUUCAAGUCGAGUGUGAAAGCCCCCCGGCUCAACUGGGGGAGGGCCACUCGAUACUGAUCGACUCGAAGGCAGGAGAGGGAAGUGGAAUUCCCGGUGUAGUGGUGAAAUGCGUAGAUAUCGGGAGGAACACCAGUGGCGAAGGCGACUUCCUGGCCUGUUCUUGACGCUGAGGCGCGAAAGCUAGGGUAGCAAACGGGG